rnacentral:rRNA from 1 species
UACGUAGGUGGCGAGCGCUAUCCGGAAUUACUGGGUGUAAAGGGCGCGUAGGCGGGGAUGCAAGUCAGAUGUGAAAUCUAUGGGCUCAACUCAUAAACUGCAUUUGAAACUGUAUUUCUUGAGUGCUGGGGAGGUAGAUGGAAUUCCUUGUGUAGCGGUGAAAUGCGUAGAUAUAAGGUAGAACACCAGUGGCGAAGGCGAUCUACUGGACAGUAACUGACGCUGAGGCGCGAAAGCGUGGGGAGCAAAC